UACGAAGGGUGCAAGCGUUGCUCGGAAUUAUUGGGCGUAAAGGGCAGGUAGGUGGUCCUAUUUGUCAGAGGUGAAAGCCCCAGGCUUAACUUGGGAAGUGCCUCUGAAACGGUAGGACUAGAGUAUUGGAGAGGGUCGUGGAAUUCCCGGUGUAGCGGUGAAAUGCGUAGAGAUCGGGAGGAACACCAGAGGCGAAGGCGGCGACCUGGACAAUAACUGACACUCAACUGCGAAAGCGUGGGGAGCAAACAGG
rnacentral:rRNA from 1 species